rnacentral:rRNA from 1 species
ACUCCUACGGGAGGCAGCAGUGGGGAAUUUUCCGCAAUGGGCGCAAGCCUGACGGAGCAACGCCGCGUGAGGGAUGAAGGCCUCUGGGCUGUAAACCUCUUUUAUCAAGGAAGAAGAUCUGACGGUACUUGAUGAAUAAGCCACGGCUAAUUCCGUGCCAGCAGCCGCGAUAAU